CCCGCUGAACUUAAGCAUAUCAAUAAGCGGAGGAAAGAAACUAACAAGGAUUCCCCUAGUAACGGCGAGUGAAGAGGGAAGAGCUCAAAUUUUGAAUCUGGCGUCUUUGGCGUCCGAAUUGUAAUCUAGAGAAGUGUUUUCCGUGACGGACCGUGCACAAGUCUCCUGGAAUGGAGCGUCAUAGAGGGUGAGAAUCCCGUAUAUGGCACGGACUACCGUUGCUCUGUGAUACACUCUCGACGAGUCGAGUUGUUUGGGAAUGCAGCUCUAAAUGGGUGGUAAAUGCCAUCUAAAGCUAAAUAUUGGCGAGAGACCGAUAGCGAACAAGUACCGUGAGGGAAAGAUGAAAAGCACUUUGGAAAGAGAGUGAAACAGUACGUGAAAUUGUUGAAAGGGAAACGCUUGAAGUCAGUCGCGCCGUUCGGGAUUCAGCCUUGCUUCUGCUCGGUUUACUUCCCGUUGGGUGGGUCAACGUCAGUUUUGGUCGGAGGAGAAAGGCUUGGGGAAGGUGGCAGCAUUCGUGCUGUGUUAUAGCCCCAUGUUGUAUACUUCGGCUGGGACUGAGGACCGCAGCACGCCUUUGGCCGGGGUUCGCCCACGUACGUGCUUAGGAUGUUGGCAUAAUGGUUUUAAGCGACCCGUCUUGAAACACGG
rnacentral:rRNA from 1 species